AGUUUACCCACUUUUUUUGUCUUUUAUUUUAAAGCUAUUGUUUCAGCUAAGAGUGGUCAAGAAGAACAAUUAAAAAAAGAUCAUAAGACACUUCAUCUAAUGGUUGAAAUGGUCCAUAGGAAGUUAAAGGGUGAUGUCUGCAGUUGGCCAGAUAGGAGGUACACGUAAAGAAUGAUCUAAUAUGAGGUACAUGCGUAAAGAAUGAUCUAACAUGAGGUUAAAGAGAAAAAGUAUUUAACGAAUGGCCGUGAUUGCUUUCCCGACCAGUGGCACUUUAGCAACAUGGAAAGCAGAUGGCAGCAGCAGAAAGGUAUAUUCUCUCCGCUAAAAAAAAAAUGUUUAUAACACGUUUCAAGACUAGGUUGCGUUCCAUUUCAGACCUCAGCUUUAAUUUAUUCCCUGAUACAUUUCCUUUAACUCACUUUUGCGUGAUGCUGUUGAUAUCAUAAAUGAUGUGGUGACCAUUGCAACAUACUGUGCUUGGCUAAUAUUAAAUGAAUUUUUUAACCUCCUGAACUACUCUAAACCUUGGUUUCUUUACCCUGGAAUUUCUGAAUGACUAUUGCCUUAAUACUUAGAGGAGUUCAAGUUCUAAGGGCAGAAAAUGACCUUAAGUUAUUAAUAUUGUAGCAGAAGAAAACUUGUAUUUGAUGUCUUUGAUGGUAUUAUACAAAUAACGUGUUAGAAUGAAUGUCUUCCUCGCAAAGCCAUUGGACAGAGCUUCAACUUUUCUUUCAAUAGGUAUCGAAUUCCAAAUUUACUGGGAAAGAAAAGCAGUUGAAAAGUGAAUGCAUAAAGAUUAAUUUGCUGGUUCUCUUCACACGAACAGUAUUUAGGACAUUUCAACCACUUGCACCUGCGCCAGUCUUGAUGUGAUCUUUAAGUGCCCUUCGACACCCUUCCACUACAAGCCUCAGAGAUAAUAAUACAUGAGAUCUCACUUGUGAGGCUUUCUUUCUAAACAGGAAGGUUUUUUAGGUUACCUGUCCGUUUAAGUUAAUUUGUUCAUUCAUUAUAGUUUAAAAGGAAAGGAAGGAGGUGAAAGACACGGCCAAAUGCAUAGAAAAAAAAGUAAGAUGUCGACUAAUCCAAUUUGAGUUUGCGUUAGGAUACAUCUAUUUAGCUAAACUGAGACACCCAAAAGAAAGAUUUGUUGAUAGAAGAAAAUAUUAGGAAGUAUUUGUAGAUGUAUGUUUUUCUGGUCUGACUUCUAGAUUUAGGAAAAGUUAACUAUGAUGGAAGGAGACCACAACCAAAGGGCAAUCAUUCCAAGUUCUUGCAUUUACCUUUCUAAAAUAAUUAUUCUAUUUAUUGAUGUCUAACAUGAGAAAAGGAUACAAACAUACGAUUGAACACAAGACUAGAAACAACCAUUCCAUUUAUUUAUUCUAUUCCUUCUGCAUUUCAUUUCAUUGUAUCAAACACACACUUCUAUCUCGUAGGUAUUCCUGGAAUUAAAGAUUUUUGUAGAGUUAUUUCAUGAGACAACCAUCUUAGUUUUAGAAGGAGAAAAUUCACAAGCACAAUGAUGCAACAAUUUGUUUUUGAUCAGGUUAAGCAUGCAUGUAGAAUGAUUGCAGCUAAGCAAACUCUGGCCUCUGUUCCUCUCAAGGGAAUUUAUUUCUAUAUGUUUUUUUGAUCUUCCUUUCUCAUCUUCCUUCAACUGGAAAGCAGAUGCACCACCACCAUGAAGGCAUAAUCUAGCUUUUGGCUAUAUCUUUUGACCUCAUAUCCCACUAUAAUUUCUCCCUUGCCAAAUUUCUUUUAAGAGCAUGCACUUAUCAAAAAGUUUCACAGUUACUUGUUUAACUUUCAUUCUUUUCAGAAGCUAUGCGCCACCAUCGCCACCUCUGUCCCACUUCAGAUAGUGACCAUCAUGUGCCCACACAGACGAAGGGCUAUGGAUCACUGGCAAGCGCACUUGUACACUUAUGGCCACCUUGGCAAUUGGCCAUGCUUCAGUGUCUAAUGUCUUGAGGAGCCCUAAAGGGUAUGGCGCUCCUUUCACCUUUUCUAAAGGAGAAAUGGAACAAAAUCUUCGCGGCUAAGUUUCGAGCAGAGCUAGGUAGCAAUAGCACAUCGUGGAUUGUAAGAUUCACCCGUGCACAUGUGGUGCCGCGUCUCGAGUGGGUCCUUGUAGUCGUAGGUAUGACUUGGCACCAAUGAUUGCGGCGUGACAGUCUGCUAAUCGAUUAUGUUAUAAGAGAAUCACAUAUGAGAAUUUUUCAAGUUGAAUAUUGUUAGAAUUCUUGUUAUAUCGAUUGAAAGUAUAUGA